AUUGAACGCUGGCGGCAUGCCUUACACAUGCAAGUCGAACGGUAACAGGUCUUCGGAUGCUGACGAGUGGCGAACGGGUGAGUAAUACAUCGGAACGUGCCUAGUAGUGGGGGAUAACUACUCGAAAGAGUGGCUAAUACCGCAUGAGAGCUACGGAUGAAAGAAGGGGAUCGCAAGACCUUGUGCUACUAGAGCGGCCGAUGGCGGAUUAGGUAGUUGGUGGGAUAAAAGCUUACCAAGCCGACGAUCUGUAGCUGGUCUGAGAGGACGAUCAGCCACACUGGGACUGAGACACGGCCCAGACUCCUACGGGAGGCAGCAGUGGGGAAUUUUGGACAAUGGGCGCAAGCCUGAUCCAGCAAUGCCGCGUGCAGGAUGAAGGCCUUCGGGUUGUAAACUGCUUUUGUACGGAACGAAAAGCCCCGGGUUAAUACCCUGGGGUCAUGACGGUACCGUAAGAAUAAGCACCGGCUAACUACGUGCCAGCAGCCGCGGUAA
rnacentral:rRNA from 1 species